rnacentral:rRNA from 1 species
UACGGGGGGUGCAAGCGUUGUCCGGAAUUACUGGGCGUAAAGCGUGCGCAGGCGGUCUGUUAAGACCGAUGUGAAAUCCCCGGGCUUAACCUGGGAACUGCAUUUGUGACUGGCGGGCUAGAGUAUGGCAGAGGGGGGUAGAAUUCCACGUGUAGCAGUGAAAUGCGUAGAGAUGUGGAGGAAUACCGAUGGCGAAGGCAGCCCCCUGGGCCAAUACUGACGCUCAUGCA